rnacentral:rRNA from 1 species
UACGUAGGGUGCAAGCGUUAAUCGGAAUUACUGGGCGUAAAGCGUGCGCAGGCGGUUCGUUGUGUCGGUGGUGAAAUCCCCGGGCUUAACCUGGGAAUGGCCAUGGAAACUGGCGAACUGGAGUGUGGCAGAGGGGGGGUGGAAUUCCGCGUGUAGCAGUGAAAUGCGUAGAGAUGCGGAGGAACACCGAUGGCGAAGGCAGCCCCCCCUGGGCUAGCACUGACGCUCAGGCACGAAAGCGUGGGGAGCAAACAGG